rnacentral:rRNA from 1 species
CACGUAGGGGGCAAGCGUUGUCCGGAUUUAUUGGGCGUAAAGAGCUCGUAGGCGGCUCGGUAAGUCGGGUGUGAAAACUCGGGGCUCAACCCCGAGACGCCACUCGAUACUGCCAUGGCUUGAGUCCGGUAGGGGAGUGUGGAAUUCCUGGUGUAGCGGUGAAAUGCGCAGAUAUCAGGAGGAACACCGAUGGCGAAGGCAGCACUCUGGGCCGGUACUGACGCUGAGGAGCGAAAGCGUGGGGAACAAACAGG